rfam:Glossina austeni, whole genome shotgun sequence.
AUAUUGUAUUCCACUAGGUUCUCCCCAUCGGCGUGCUACCAACCAGCCUCCGCGAAGUAAUACCUAACGUUUGUCCCGCGGGGGAGAGUGGUUGAAAAAGCGUUUGGUGGAUAGUUUUUAGUAUAUAAGCGCCAUGAAUGGCGAAUCGUGCAUAUUGCUACUAAGAACCAGCAGUAUCUUUUGAAGAUUUUUUAACUUCAGCUC